AAAUAGCCCCGAUGGAAACGGAAAUCCUUUUUCUUUUUUUUCUUGAAAAAAAGAAAAAGAUUGUAGUGAACAGCGGGACAAAUU
rnacentral:sRNA from 1 species